UGUGUCUCUGUUUGCAUCCGGCAGGAGGAUGACAAGGAGGUUCAGAGCCUGCAGUUGUUGCUUCUUGGUUGGAAGAUCUGCAGAUAGAUUAGAUAGAUCUGAACUCUUUUCUUUAUUGAAUAUUUUUCUUUAUAUUUUCAAGCAAAAAAGUUAUUUGGCAUAAACAUUACAGUAAAAUGUAAGAUGCAACGACAACUGAGCAGCAAGCCUGGUUGAGAGAGUUUGUGGGAGAUCAGUGGAGCAGCUGCCAAGAGCUUCCUCUCCCUCAGAAUGCUCACUUCCAACUGUGAUCAUAUGACGAGCGGCCUUAUGUUUGCAGACACACAACAGUGCUUUGGAAAUAAUUUUAACUUCUGUGAGAUAAUUAUUCCCCAAUGAAAAGACAAAGAAGAUUGUACCUUCCAUGACAUGGUAUCAGGGUGCAUCUUGUGUUUCUUUUAAUGAGGGAAGACCCAAUUGAGUUGUCCAGCUGAUGAAUCCAAAGGCACUUCUCAUGACAGACCACUGUGAUUUGCUGCUUACAAUUCAGAGGGGACACAAGCAGAUGAGUGUUACCUACAAGCAAACUCUUCAUAUGAAUGAAAAGCUUGGAGCUAUACCACCAAUACUUCAUUCUAGCAGGCUGCCAGAGUCUAGAGAAUGUUGAAGAGAAAAUAAUGAAAAGUAACUAAAUAAACUUUAACAACAACGACAACAAAAUACUGUCAAGAGAAAUGACAAAGGGAGAUUUUUCUCAAGGGACCGGAUACCAUGCUCAGCCUGGUGAGGAAGCAUCAUCGAACCUUAUGAAAACCUAGGCUCACAGAACUUCCCUGGUUUUGUGAUGAGAUUCUAGAAAAGCAUGUGAAGUCUUCUUUCUACACAAGAGACUCAUGGAAAAAAAAAAAAAAAAAAAGAGCACCUUUUAACCCAGAAAUUCACCAUUCCAAGCCUCAAGCUAGAAGAUUCCUAGGAACUGAACAUGGAAUGUGGUCCACCGUGGGUCCACUAUGACAGAGGACCUGAGGGAAAGACAUUUCAGUCCCACAGAGAAACUGCCGCUAAUAUUUAAACCAGGUGACUACUUGCCUUGGCUAAUGUUACCAUAGCAACUCAUAGUCCUCAUUCAUGGUGUCCCUUUAGGAGGCACCUUUCAGGUUAAACAAGAGGACAAAGAGUCCUACACAGUAAAGCUUUGUCAGUAGAGAAUUAUCUGGAUUUCCAGACCAAUAAAACCCCAGAGGAACAAAAACCAAAGAUGUAUUCAUUCUUUAUCAUGCUACGAAAUAUAAAUUCUAUUUCUGUAAUAGGUAAAGCAAGCUGCUUACAAAAGAAAAACUACACAUAUAUAGGAUUAGUAUCAUCUAGGGGUACCGUAUAUAUGUUACAAUGACAUUCCCUUAAUAGGAUAAGAACUAUUUUAAAAAUGUAGUUACAACUCAUAGGUAAGUGAACAAAGCGACAAAAUACUAACUACCCCAGUAUUUUCUAGCCAGUGAUAAGUGAGAGUCAUAAUUUAGGACCAACCAGCUCAAAGUCA